GCGAAGGUGGCGGAACAGGCAGACGCGUACGUUUGAGGUGCGUAUGUUUAGACGUGAGGGUUCAAGUCCCUUCCUUCGCACCA
rnacentral:tRNA from 1 species